CCAUUAGCAACCGUAGGCUUCUAAACAACCCGCCCUCGCUCCCCAUACUCUGCGGCCCAACUUCCUUCGGCGACCCCGGGCCUGGCGAGGCUGAGCCUGGCCUCUCCCACUUCUCUAGGCCGCUGACUCCCGCAGGCCCGCCGCCAUGGCAGAGUUGGGGCUCAAUGAACACCAUCAAAAUGAAGUCAUUAAUUAUAUGCGUUUUGCUCGUUCAAAAAGAGGCUUGAGACUCAAAACUGUGGAUUCCUGCUUCCAAGACCUCAAGGAGAGCAGGCUGGUGGAGGAGACUUUCACCAUAGAUGAAGUCUCCGAAGUCCUGAAUGGGUUACAGGCUGUGGUCCACAGUGAGGUGGAGUCUGAGCUCAUCAACACAGCCUACACCAACGUGCUCCUUCUGCGCCAGCUCUUCUCACAAGCUGAGAAGUGGUACCUCAAGCUACAGACAGACAUUUCUGAACUUGAAAACAGAGAAUUAUUAGAACAAGUUGCAGAAUUUGAAAAGGCAGAAUUUACAUCUUCAAAUAAAAAGCCCAUCAUAGAUAACAUAAAGCCAAAACUUGCUCCACUUAACGAAGGUGGAACAGCAGAACUUCUAAACAAGGAAAUUUUAAGACUUCAAGAAGAGAAUGAGAAAUUAAAGUCAAGGCUGAAGACCAUUGAAACACAGGCGACAAAUGCAUUGGAUGAGAAGUCGAAACUAGAAAGAGCACUGCAAGAUUUACAGCUUGAUCAAGGAAAUCAAAAGGAUUUUGUAAAAGCCCAGGAUUUGAGUGACUUGGAAAACACAGUUGCUGCUUUAAAGAGUGAGUUUCAGAAGACACUUAACAACCAGACAGAAAACCAGAAGUCACUGGAGGAGAAUCUGGCCAUGGCCAAGCACGACCUCCUCAGGGUUCAGGAGCAGCUGAGCAUGGCUGAAAAGGAAUUAGAGAAGAAAUUCCAACAAACAGCAGCUUAUCGAAACAUGAAAGAAAUGCUUACAAAGAAGAAUGACCAAAUCAAAGACCUGAGAAAAAGAUUGGCAAAAUACGAACCUGAAGAUUAAAAACUGAAGGUUUUGUCUAGAAGCUACCACAGCGUGAAAGUACAGGCUGUUUCCCAGCUCAGGUUUUAUGUUAAAAUACUGAAGGAACAAAUGAUAAAGGGUAAGAUAAUUUCCCUCCAAAAGGACACAGAAGGCAGUCUUAAAAAGACGAAUGAAUCAGAGAAGGGAGGGAGAAAAAGCCACUAACAAGCCAGCACUUGUUGCAUGGUCGUUCCUCACCUGUCUCUCACUAUUCAGGUCGCUCAUUGGUUUCUGUGUCCUUUUUUAAAAUUUAUUUAUUUGUUUGUUUAUUUAUUUAUUUAGUGUGGGGAGGUAAUUAGGUCUGUUUAUUUAUUUAUUUAUUUUUAGAGGAGUUCCUGGGGACUGAACCCAGGACCUUGUGUAUGCUAAGCAUGUGCUCUACCACUUGAGCUAUCCCCUCCCUGCUCUGUGUCCUUUUAGAGCUUUCACUGAGGGUUCUAGUCUCACCCCGUGUUUCUUUAUGCCAAAAUUAAUUCUCUCUCCAAAAAACAUUCCAUUAUUUAUGGACUGGGAUAUUCUGUAUAAUUCAGAAACAGAAUUCUUGAUUAACUGGCUUGUGUAUCUUUCAAAAACCGUUAUUUUCUCCCUGCACAUUUCUUAGUUUGAUACCUGUAGGGAAGGAAGUUAUGUUGAGAAACCCAUGUUGCUAGGUAGAAUUUCACCUUGUUUUCUUUGGUAGCAACUUUGAAAUAGUCUAUAUAGUGUAUUCCAGUUCAGUAAUAAAUUUAAAAGUAUUUAUGAAACCUUAAAACCUAACUAUGCUAACUAUGCCCCACAUUAAGAUAAAAAAAUUAGCAUUCUUUGACAUAAAUCAACAUAAUGAUUCACAUGUAAAUACUUUUUCUGCCGUGGUUUUGUC